AAGAAAGAAAGAAAGAAAGAUACAUUUAUUACAGUGGACAUCACACAAAUACAGGCAAUUACAUAGACAUGACAGUGGCACAUAAUAAUAAAAGAAGAAAAAAUAAAAACAAGAGUAAACUGAGCAGUGCCACCCAUUCACCAACAAGAUGCCCACUGCAACGGGACCCCACUCAGCAUAUGCCGUGGCCCACGGUGACGAAGGCCACGGCACUGGUUUUCAGUGUGCCCCAUGCCGAGUGAGGGUCACGGACCAUUGGUAAAAUAAAAAAUAAAUAAAAAUAAAAAAGCUGCAUAAAAUUGUCUAGAUAAACAUACAUAAAUAGUAAUAUUAGUGCACAGAUAAAUACAAAAGGCGGGAAAUCGGUAAGGAUGAUAUGACUACGUUUAUUAAGAAUACUAAUGAAAAGAAUACUAAUAAAAAGAUAAAACUGUUUGUAUAGGUGUGUGUGUAGUAAUUGUGUUAAUGUGUAAUAUUCGUAAAGAGUGACAUUGUUACGCGUUGUUGAGUGUCUCGACGCCCGCAAAACCGGUUUGUGCAAUCGAAUGAUUGAUUGCGCGCGAUUCGACAAUUUAGUUCAUCCCAUAUUGUUCCGAGCGUUACACGCGCACCUACAAACAAAAAAUAAAAAAAAAUAAAAAGUAAAUAAAUUCCAGCAGUAUUGGUCGUCUAAACAUAUAAUUCAAUUUCAAUUAGUGUCAAAUAUAUAGUUAUGAUGUCAUUAGAAAUAAAAUAAUAAUCAUGAAACAAGUAUUUAAUAUGGUGUUAUAAUGGUGUUACAAAUAGUAUGUCCGGAGAGAAAAAAUUUCAAUUUUCAAGUAGUGAUGUCAGGCUACAGCAGUCCCGAUCGUCUUGCCCACUUCCGUGCUUGAUCGUCUGAAACCUUUAGACGACGUAAUGGCGGUGGCAAGUCAUUCCAGCACUUGGAGGCGGCAAACCUGAAGCUACCCCGGAAGGCAACGGUUCGGUGCGGCGGAAGAACGAGAGUGCUGCUGGAGCGACGGGUCUUGUGCGAGUGGAAUUCCCUUGUCCAAACUAAUUUAUCUAGUAGAUAAGUCGGAGUGUUGUUUUUCAUCAUACCAAAAAGCAGUGCCGCGAAGUGCAACGCCCUGCGUGAGUUCAUUUUUAAUAUUUUAGCAUUAGUUAUAUAAGGCGUAACGUGUGUUCAAAGUCAAAGUCAAAAUUUCUUUAUUUGUUUAGACUAAUAAAUAGUUCUUACAAAUCGUCAUUUUGCUCUUAAGGAGCCUCUACAUGUCUCAUAAUCUUUUUACCCUACCAGCGCUUCGAGACCAACAUUUGGCAAGUGCUGAGAAGAAGCGCCGCAACAAACUCAGUCACCACUGUCUGCCGGUUAAUAUAAAUAAAUAGAAAUAGCAGUAGUAGGUACAUUCGAUUCAGGAUGUUCUCGGCGGGAUUGAAAAACAAAAACGGGCGCAUGCAUUUUGCACACGUUGGAUAGUUUUCUUGGUACGCGCCAGCAGUCGGGGGCCAUAGACCACGUCCAUAUAGUUGAACUUAGAUAGAACCAGAGAGUCGCAUAAUUUAAUGCGAUUGUCAGUAGAAAGAUAUUUACGUAUUUGAUAUAAUACUUUAUAGGUAUUACUAUAAAGGUGAAGUGAAAGUUUGUGUGUAUGUAUGUAUGUUUACCUUUUUACGCUUAAACAACUGGAUGGACUUGAUUGAUGGCGUGUGCGUGCAAGCUUUUUUCUAUAUUUUAGAGGUUAAACUGAGUUUUUGAGGAUUUAAAUAAAAAACCACUUUAAUAUAAUACUUUAAUCAGUAUCACUGACCCUUAAACAAAAUUAAUUUGUUAUAAAAAUUCCUGACGAUGUCAGACUUUUCUGAAAGCUUUUUAGCUGCAUAAUGUAUUCGAACUUUCAGAUACUUUAAACUUAUGGCUUUAACUAAGAGCGAAUAGUGACAGUCAAGAAAUGUUUGUUGUUUAAAAUGUGAAGUCUUGGAGAAAAAAUGAUAUCCUAAACAGUAUUUAAGACUUUCUUGCAUUAGCUCUAUUAAAUGAUUUUUUUUAUAAAAUCCUUUAUUCCUACGAAAUAUAAUUUCACAAAUUUCGCAUAUUUUUAUGAUAUCUACUGUAGGAUAACACAGUCCGCCUUUGUCUUUUUUCAAUUGUAGGCUAACAUAUUUAGUAUUACAUACUAUAGCUGACACACAUUCCUCACAGUUAAGUUCUUUUUUCAGUUUGCUUACAACAAAACCAGCUAUGUAUAUAAUUAUAUGUUUAGAAAAUUCAGUCAAAAUACUUGGGUCUGUUAAAUAGUCGUGAUCUUUCAUUAAUAUAUUUUCAACCAUUUCUGUAUUUACAGGUUCAUUAUCAAUUAAUCUAUUUUUCUCAGAUGUUUUAUUUAUUGCUAAUUCAGGUUUCGUUAGCGUUAAAAUGUUUAUAUGUUCGAGAGGAAUACAGUUUCCUGACGUUAUAUGUUUAAUUUCUCCAUGUACUAACAUCCUCUUAAAGGCAGAUUUAAACUGUUGUGCAGAUGGAUUGUUGUUAAAUCCUCCUUUAGCCCUGAUGGCACUAAAAAAAUACUCUAGAUGGUCCUGACUCAUUUUGUAUGUGCUCAGAAAUUGGAGGUUAUUAUUUACCACCUGAGUUUCGUAAAGUUUAACAACGCUUUUAAUACAAAUAACAAAUCCCAUAAA